GCUUCUUAAAUCAACCUAGUUCUAGAGAGGAGGCAAGAUGUUGGCAUAGCUGUUGCAUCUGAAACCAGUUGUGCCAACCUAUUGCCAUCUUUCUUGUCUACCAGCACCAGAGAACUUGC
rnacentral:precursor_RNA from 14 species